rnacentral:rRNA from 1 species
UAGGGAAUUUUGCGCAAUGGGCGAAAGCCUGACGCAGCAACGCCGCGUGAGGGAUGACGGCCUUCGGGUUGUAAACCUCUGUUGAGUGGGAAAAAAGGGUAGCAAUACUUUGAUGGUACCAUUCGAGUAAGCACCGGCUAACUACGUGCCAGCAGCCGCGGUAAUACGUAGGGUGCGAGCGUUGUUCGGAAUCACUGGGCGUAAAGGGAGCGUAGGCGGGAUCGUAAGUUAGGAGUUUAAUGCAUGGGCUUAACCCAUGACCUGCUUUUAAUACUGCGAUUCUUGAGUAUGGGAGAGGGCGAUGGAAUUCCAGGUGUAGCGGUGGAAUGCGUAGAUAUCUGGAAGAACACCAGUAGCGAAGGCGGUCGCCUGGCCUAAUACUGACGCUGAGGCUCGAAAGCUAGGGGAGCAAACAGG